UACGUAGGGUGCAAGCGUUAAUCGGAAUUACUGGGCGUAAAGCGUGCGCAGGCGGCUUUGCAAGACAGAUGUGAAAUCCCCGGGCUUAACCUGGGAACUGCAUUUGUGACUGCAAGGCUAGAGUACGGUAGAGGGGGAUGGAAUUCCGCGUGUAGCAGUGAAAUGCGUAGAGAUGUGGAGGAACACCGAUGGCGAAGGCAGCCCCCUGGGUCAAAACUGACGCUCAUGCACGAAAGCGUGGGGAGCAAACAGG
rnacentral:rRNA from 1 species